rnacentral:rRNA from 1 species
GAUGAACGCUGGCGGCGUGCUUAACACAUGCAAGUCGAACGGAAAGGCCCAAGCUUGCUUGGGUACUCGAGUGGCGAACGGGUGAGUAACACGUGGGUGAUCUGCCCUGCACUUCGGGAUAAGCCUGGGAAACUGGGUCUAAUAUCGGAUAGGACCACUUCUUGGAUGUUGUGGUGGAAAGUUUUUUCGGUGUGGGAUGAGCUCGCGGCCUAUCAGCUUGUUGGUGGGGUAAUGGCCUACCAAGGCGUCGACGGGUAGCCGGCCUGAGAGGGUGUACGGCCGCAUUGGGACUGAGAUACGGCCCAGACUCCUACGGGAGGCAGCAGUGGGGAAUAGUGCACAAUGGGCGCAAGCCUGAUGCAGCGACGCCGCGUGGGGGAUGACGGCCUUCGGGUUGUAAACUCCUUUCGCUAGGGACGAAGCGUUUUGUGACGGUACCUGGAGAAGAAGCACCGGCUAACUACGUG